rnacentral:rRNA from 1 species
UACGAAGGGGGCUAGCGUUGUUCGGAAUUACUGGGCGUAAAGCGCGCGCAGGCGGUCUUCCAAGUCAGUGGUGAAAGCCCGGAGCUCAACUCCGGAACUGCCAUUGAAACUGUGAGACUUGAGGAUGAGAGAGGUGAGUGGAAUUCCCAGUGUAGAGGUGAAAUUCGCAGAUAUUGGGAAGAACACCGGUGGCGAAGGCGGCUCACUGGCUCGUAACUGACGCUCAGGCGCGACAGCGUGGGGAUCGAAACAGG